rnacentral:ncRNA from 1 species
UUUGUCGAACAUGAUCUGACUCGUAUAACUUCGGGAAUUGGCCCGAAAGUAUCUACCCGGAAACCGUAAAUUACCGGACUACGAGCCAACGGAUAGAGGAA